GCCUGAGAGGAACCUGCCCAUCCUGGCUUCAGAAGCAGCAUCUGGGACAUGUCAGCCAUGGCCUGGACGCCUCUCCUCCUCAGCCUCCUCGCUCACUGCACAGGCUCUGUGGCCUCCUAUGAGCUGACUCAGUCACCCUCAGUGUCAGUGUCCCCAGGACAGCCAGCCAGCAUCACCUGCUCUGGAGAUAAAUUUGGGAAUGCAUAUGCUUACUGGUACCAGCAGAAGCCAGGCCAGGUCCCUGUACUGGUCAUCUAUAAAAAUAGCAACCGGCCCUCAGGGAUCCCUGAGCGAUUCUCUGGCUCCAACUCGGGGAACACGGCCACCCUGACCAUCAGCGGGGUCGAGGCUGGGGAUGAGGCCGACUAUUACUGUGCUACAAGCUAUGGCAGUGGGAGCAGCUGGCAGUGACUCACAGUAACACGAACAGAUGGAGACAUGGGACAGAAACCUCAGCCUUAACCUGAUGUCACUCUCAGCCGCCCUCUGAGCGAUGACCGUGACCUUCAUUUCAACUGACUCUGCCUGUUUCUCCUGCAGUCCAAACAACAGAAAAUUAGUGCCAGAUUUUUAUUUUUAUCGUGGUUUCCACAAAGUAUUCAUUUCAAACCCUAACAUCUUGCCACUUGAAAUCUAAGCCUCUGCAGAGACCAGCGGGCAGUUUCAGAGGAUGGAAAAUGUCUCUAGAGAGCUUGGCUCCUGCAUUGGUGACCCUCCCUUUCAACCCAGAGUGUGGGUCUUUCCCCUCCCUUUCAACCCAGAGUGUGGCAGGCGCGCCCCCUACAGGCAGCUGAAAGAGCUGGCAGGGAGAAGGGCUCUCCUUAGGGACCCUGACAAUUUGGGCUGAGGAUUUUCCCUCCCCUAGCAGGCUGGACCCAAGAGAUGUUAUUGUUACAGGUCCAGGGCCUCUGUGGUCCUCCCUUUUCUCUCCUCCCCAAAUGAUCAUGUGAUUAUCACUUUCCCUCUCAGUUCCUUUCCUUCUCUGUCAAGUGCACUUCGCAGAUUCUGUGCUCCCAGGUCCUAGAUCUGUAGAAUUUCAAGGAAAGCAGUGCUGCUCACCCACAUGGAAUCCCAGACAGCUGACCAAGGACUAGAGGCACAGGCAGCAGUGUGGGUCCCCACAGAGCUGCAUGGUGGGCACCGGGUAGACUGGAGGAACCAGGAUCUUCAGCCCCAAGUGAACUAGGGAGGGAUCAGCAGGCUGGGCUUAACCCACCAGGGCCUCCCCUGUCCCUGUCCCAGCAGCAUUGUCUUAGAAUUUUCUUUAUGUGCUAAGCUACCACCAAAGAACCUGUCUAAUUACCUGGAAAUUUCCUCUCAUCACACAUAACUACACAUGACUCCUGCCCCAAAUUACUCCUUUAUUAAAAUAGCUAAAAGAGCUUAAACUGA